AACGAACGCUGGCGGCAUGCCUAACACAUGCAAGUCGAACGAGACCUUCGGGUCUAGUGGCGCACGGGUGCGUAACGCGUGGGAACCUGCCCUUAGGUUCGGAAUAACUCCCCGAAAGGGGUGCUAAUACCGGAUAAUGUCUUCGGACCAAAGAUCUUUCGCCUUUGGAUGGGCCCGCGUUGGAUUAGCUAGUUGGUAGGGUAAAAGCCUACCAAGGCGACGAUCCAUAGCUGGUCUGAGAGGAUGAUCAGCCACACUGGGACUGAGACACGGCCCAGACUCCUACGGGAGGCAGCAGUGGGGAAUAUUGGACACUGGGCGAAAGCCUGAUCCAGCAAUGCCGCGUGAGUGAUGAAGGCCUUAGGGUUGUAAAGCUCUUUUACCCGGGAUGAUAAUGACAGUACCGGGAGAAUAAGCACCGGCUAACUCCGUG
rnacentral:rRNA from 1 species